AUUGAACGCUGGCGGCAGGCCUAACACAUGCAAGUCGAGCGGAUGAGUGGAGCUUGCUCCAUGAUUCAGCGGCGGACGGGUGAGUAAUGCCUCGGAAUCUGCCUGGUAGUGGGGGACAACGUUUCGAAAGGAACGCUAAUACCGCAUACGUCCUACGGGAGAAAGUGGGGGAUCGUCGGACCUCACGUUAUCAGAUGAGCCUAGGUCGGAUUAGCUAGUUGGUGAGGUAAAGGCUCACCAAGGCGACGAUCCGUAACUGGUCUGAGAGGAUGAUCAGCCACACUGGAACUGAGACACGGUCCAGACUCCUACGGGAGGCAGCAGUGGGGAAUAUUGGACAAUGGGCGAAAGCCUGAUCCAGCCAUGCCGCGUGUGUGAAGAAGGUCUUCGGAUUGUAAAGCACUUUAAGUUGGGAGGAAGGGCAGUAAGUUAAUACCUUGCUGUUUUGACGUUACCAACAGAAUAAGCACCGGCUAACUUCGUGCCAGCAGCCGCCGUAAAAC
rnacentral:rRNA from 1 species